rfam:Salmo salar isolate Sally breed double haploid chromosome ssa01, whole genome shotgun sequence.
UCACAACAAUGUUGUAAGUCGCUCUGGAUAAGAGCGUCUGCUAAAUGACUUAAA